GAAAUGAGAAGAUCCAUAGCAAACUGAAGUCUCACUCCAUAUUUUCACAAGGUCAUGGCUACUUCCUCUCAACCAUUGUUAGAUUCUCCCAAAACAAAAUCUUCCUCUUCUACUAAAGCUCUCUAUGUGCUUCUCUCCUUAGCUGCUAUUGUGGGCUCAGUUGGAUUCAUUUCAAUCUGGGCCAUCAAUCGUACAUCAAUUUCCUUGACAACUCGUGUUUGUGAUACGGCCCAUGAUCAGCCAUCUUGCUUAGCCAUGCUGUCUGAGGUUGCACCUGCUGGUCUGAUGGAUACAAAAACAGUUGAUUUGCUACAGAUGGUUUUGCAUAAAUCAUCGUUAAAAAUCCACGAGACGAUCCAUUUGGCGAGCAAUGUGAAUGGUCGGAUCAAUAAUGGCCAGGAACAAGUAGCUCUAGAAGAUUGUUUAGAGUUGAUGGAUUUGUCAAGGGAUAGAUUAAUGGACUCCAUGGUGGGACUUGGGAACCUAACGGUCCAAGCCCAUUUUGAUGUUCAUUCAUGGCUAAGUAGCAUUCUCACCAACCAUGUUACUUGCAUAGAUGGCCUAAAUGGCCAGGUCCGGUCUAUUAUGGAGCCUAUGUUGAAUGAUUUGGUAGCAAGAGCAAGGACUUCCUUGGCCUUGAUGGUUGCAAUUGCACCACAAAAGAAUAUUGUACCAACAGUUAGUGAUGGAUUGCCCUCAUGGGUUAGUGCUAAUGAUAGAAGACUUUUGCAACUUUCAGCAAAUGCAAUAGCAGCCAAUGUUGUAGUGGCUAAAGAUGGCAGUGGAAAAUACAAAACCGUAAAAGAAGCAGUUGCUUCUGCUCCAGAUAAUAGUAAGACUCGAUAUGUUAUUUAUGUCAAAAAAGGAACUUAUAAAGAAAAUGUUGAGAUUGGGAAAAAGAAGAAGAAUAUAAUGCUUGUGGGUGAUGGCAUGGAUGCAACUAUUAUCACUGGAAACUUGAAUGUUAUUGAUGGCUCAACAACUUUCAAAUCUGCAACUGUUGCUGCUGUUGGGGAUGGAUUCAUAGCCCAAGAUAUACAAUUCCAAAACACAGCAGGGCCACAAAAGCACCAAGCAGUGGCCCUUCGUGUUGGAGCAGAUCAGUCCGUUAUCAACCGUUGCAAAAUGGAUGCAUUCCAGGACACUCUCUAUACCCACACUCUCCGUCAAUUCUACAGAGAUUGUUACAUCAUUGGCACUGUCGAUUUUAUCUUUGGUAACGCAGCAGUUGUGUUCCAAAACUCUAAACUGGCAGCGCGAAAGCCCAUGAGCGGACAGAAAAACAUGGUUACAGCACAAGGUCGCGAAGAUCCAAACCAAAAUACAGGAACUUCAAUCCAGAAUUGUGACAUUAUUCCUAGCUCGGACCUUGCACCAGUAAAAGGGUCCGUGAAGACAUAUUUGGGCAGACCAUGGAAAGCGUACUCGAGGACAGUGUACAUGCAGUCCAACAUUGGAGACCAUAUUGAUCCAGCAGGUUGGUCAGAAUGGGACGGUGAUUUUGCAUUGAAAACAUGUAUUAUGGUGAGUACAUGAACAAGGAGCUGGUGCUGGAUAGUAAGAGAGUUAACUGGCCUGGUUAUCAUAAAGCUUUAACAACAUCCGAGGCCACAAAGUUCACUGUGGGUCAGCUGAUUCAAGGAGCAGCAUGGUUAAAAUCUACUGGUGUCGCUUACACUGAUGGGUUGUGAGGAACUUGUUUAAUUCAAAUAUGUGUGCCAUGUAUUGCUAGUGAAGUUUUAGUAUGUUUUGGUUGCUUUCUGUUUGCUUGUUCUGUGAUGAUAAUAAUAAUAUGCUGCUUAGUUGUGGCUCUGAUGACUGAACCAUGCCACAAUAAGAAAUUAUAAAUUAAAUUAUUUAGAAUA